AUGAUCCCUGCAUCUCUGCUGCUGCUUCUUGCAGCUGCAUGCUAUGUUCAGUGUGUUGAACUGACCCAGCCAGGCUCUGUGGUUGUAAAGCCAGGACAGUCUCUGACCAUCUCCUGUAAAGUCUCUGGGUAUUCCUUGACUGAUGACAGCUACUAUACAGGCUGGAUUCGACAGCCUGCAGGGAAAGCUCUGGAGUGGAUUACACAUAUCUGGGGUAGUGGAACCAUAAGAUUAAAAGAUUCACUGAAGAAUAGGUUCAGCAUCUCCAGAGACGCCUCCAGCAGCACAGUGUCUUUGCAAGGGAGCAGCCUGCAGACUGAAGACACAGCUGUGUAUUACUGUGCCCGACACAGUGACAAAAAGUCAUUUGAAAGCAAUACAAAAACUGUGUCACACAUCAUUAACCACAAUCAACAUGUUGAUGUGGGAUACACACUACUGUAUACUGAAACAUUGUGA